GGAGAGUUGUUUAAGGACCGCGCCGAUCAGCUCCCGUCCGACCGGCAGCAGCCGAGCAGCGCGCGCUUCUCACCUGUAGCCAUCUGUCGCGUGCCGCCGCGCGCUCUGCCUUGAGUCCCGACAGAUGGUUGACGUUGUGGAAAACGAAGCAAAGAUGGCUCACAUGAGGCCACCUGGUGGUAGUGUAGCUGCUGCCGGCGGCGGCGGCGUCUCCGACGAGAACCGAGGUCCAUCCAAAGGUUUCGUGGUGAGGGAGGCUCCCUGGGCUAACACCAAUGAGAAAGCUACUAACAUGAGCAGCUCUGAAGAUUUCCCAAGCUUUGGAGCUCCAGUCCCACAAAACUUUAUACAACACAUUUAACAUCACACUAACUGUUGAAUGGAGUUUUCGUGAACAUCUGAUUAAAAGACUGUUUCAGGCACAACAGCAGAAUCUCUCGUGCCAACCGUCUGUCCCGUGUUCCUCACC